UACGUAGGCAGCAAGCGUUGUUCGGAGUUACUGGGCGUAAAGCGUGCGUAGACGGUUACAUAAGUCGGGUGUGAAAGCCCCGGGCUCAACCUGGGAAUUGCAUUCGAGACUGCGUAGCUAGGGUGCGGAAGAGGGAAGCGGAAUUUCCGGUGUAGCGGUGAAAUGCGUAGAUAUCGGAAGGAACACCAGUGGCGAAAGCGGCUUCCUGGUCCAGCACCGACGUUCAGGCACGAAAGCGUGGGGAGCAAACAGG
rnacentral:rRNA from 1 species